UAAAAGAAAACCCAGACUGCUAAAUGUGGCUCAGGUAGAGAGCCAAGUUUAAGUUUAUAUGGGCUUCCCUUGUGGCUCAGCUGGUAAAGAAUCCGCCUGCAAUUCAGGAGACCUGGGCUGGGAAGAUCCAUGGAGAAGGAAAGGCUACCCACUCCGAAGUUAUCCCUGAACUCAAGGAAUUUAAGUCUAACUGAGGAGAGACAGGCACAAAGGAAACGGCUCCAGAAACAACAGGGACUGUGGAAUCUCCACACAGAUGACAGAAGACAAGACUCCCAGGAAUUGGCGGGGUCUGCACCCUGAGGAACCAAAGGUGGGGUUUUCAGAGCGGCCACCCGUCCCCACCAGGGACUCAGGCUCUGGAACUGUGACCAGCACUGGAAAGGAGCCAGCCUGGUCUAAGGAAGCUCUGGAAACACAGUUUCUCUAGUGGAAGCCAAGUGCUUGCGCUGUUCCUCCCUACACAGUUCUCCUGUUUUGUCUUAGUUGCUCAGUCGUGUCCAACUCUUUGAGAUCCAGUGGACUGUAGCCCACCAGUCUUCUCUGUCCAUGGGAUUCUCCAGGCAAGAAUACUGGAGUGGGUUGCCAUUCCCUUCUCCAGGGGAUCUUCCUGAUCCAGGGAUCGAACCCAUGUCUCCUGCAUUGCAGGGAAAUUCUUUACCGUCUGAACCACUAAUAGAUCCAUUUGCCACCAUUCUGCCAUUUCAUUCUGGCCUUCUCUUUCAUUUCUUCUUUUCUUCCCUAGAUUUCAGGACCUCAAGGUCAGAGCAGCCUUACCAGUCCCCAAACACCAUUAUUUUUUGGCAAGACGUUUUGAUCAUGGAAUGAAUACCUGCAAAAGGCAAUCUGGAGCCCUCAGCUAGACACCCACAAGUUCAAGAGCACACCUGUGACUUCAAAGUAGAAGCCAGGCUCCUCAGCUUUAUUAUGUUUUUUAAAUUUUAUUGUGAAAUGUUUCACGUCAGGCAUGAAGAGUCUGGUCUGAGGUGCUGCUCAAACUGUGAGCGGUAACGCUACAGAGAAGAACCAGUUCUGACUCCACGUUGGAACUGUUUCUUCAGCUUACUUUUAGUUGCUAUUGUUUUUAUAAUCAUACCUAAUGGCCUGCUUCAGAAAACCCAGCCCCUCUGCCUGACUAUUAAACUAAAGUGCCUUUGUUCAGCUCACAAAGAGGUAAUCUGACCCUACCCACCUGUGAAAGAAAGAAAGAGGUCAAGAAAAAAGAGAUUAACACAUCCAUCCCCUGAUGCUGGCCAUUCCUGGAGAUGUUUUACAAGACUGAUGGCACUUUUUACUUUACUUCCUCAUUGCCUCUCCCUCUCUAUCCUAGGCACUUCUAUCUCUGGAUCUAUAAAAGA